UUAAGCUUAACUCUAGUUUAAUAUUAUAAAAGAAUAUAAGAAAUAUAGAAUAAAUAGGAAUUUUAAUACUUAUAAAUCACUACUACUCCUAUUAUUUUUUUACUUAUUUAACAAAAUAGGAUUAAAUUUAUAUCUAAUUUCUAGUUUUAAAGUCUUUUACAAACUAAUUUAAAUUAAAAAUAUUAUUAAGUAAAGAGUUUAACUAAAGUGAUAUAUCUAUUAAACUAUAAUAUAAAUAUUCUAAAGUGGGCUUAUAGAAAAUAGAAAUUUCUAAUAAAACAAAAAGAUAAAAAUCUUCUUAAUUUUAAUUUUCAAUAUAAAUAUAAACUAUAAAAAUAUAACCUAUUAAUCUUUUAAUCCCUUAAAAUUUGAAAUUAGAAGUACUAGAAAAGUUACUA
rnacentral:ncRNA from 1 species